rnacentral:lncRNA from 1 species
AAACUGGACAGACUGCAACAUCUCAAAUUGUACAGUCAACUGCAAAAGUUUACGGUAUGCGGUUUCACCUGCAAAUGU